rnacentral:rRNA from 1 species
CCUAUGGGUGGCAGCAGUGAGGAAUAUUGGUCAAUGGACGAGAGUCUGAACCAGCCAAGUAGCGUGAAGGAUGACUGCCCUAUGGGUUGUAAACUUCUUUUAUAAAGGAAUAAAACGAGGCACGUGUGCCUUUUUGCAUGUACUUUAUGAAUAAGGAUCGGCUAACUCCGUGCCAGCAGCCGCGGUAAUACGGAGGGUGCGAGCGUUAAUCGGAAUUACUGGGCGUAAAGCGCUCGUAGGCGGUAUGUCAAGUCAAGGGUGAAAUCCCCGCGCUCAACGUGGGAACUGCCUUUGAAACUGGCAAACUGGAGUGUGUGAGAGGAUAGUGGAAUUCCAGGUGUAGGAGUGAAAUCCGUAGAUAUCUGGAGGAACAUCAGUGGCGAAGGCGACUAUCUGGCACAUAACUGACGCUGAGGAGCGAAAGCGUGGGUAGCAAACAGGAUUAGAUACCCGUGUAGUC